AUUGAACGCUGGCGGCAUGCCUUACACAUGCAAGUCGAACGGCAGCAUGAUCUAGCUUGCUAGAUUGAUGGCGAGUGGCGAACGGGUGAGUAAUACAUCGGAACGUGCCCUGUAGUGGGGGAUAACUAGUCGAAAGAUUAGCUAAUACCGCAUACGACCUGAGGGUGAAAGUGGGGGACCGCAAGGCCUCAUGCUAUAGGAGCGGCCGAUGUCUGAUUAGCUAGUUGGUGGGGUAAAGGCCCACCAAGGCGACGAUCAGUAGCUGGUCUGAGAGGACGAUCAGCCACAGUGGGACUGAGACACGGCCCAGACUCCUACGGGAGGCAGCAGUGGGGAAUUUUGGACAAUGGGGGCAACCCUGAUCCAGCAAUGCCGCGUGUGUGAAGAAGGCCUUCGGGUUGUAAAGCACUUUUGUCCGGAAAGAAAUGGCUCUGGUUAAUACCUGGGGUCGAUGACGGUACCGGAAGAAUAAGGACCGGCUAACUACGUGCCAGCCGCCGCCGUAA
rnacentral:rRNA from 1 species